ensembl:lncRNA
AGCAAUGACUCGCUGUCAUAUAGUGUAUUCAUUUUUGGGGGGGGGGGGGGUCAAUGCUUUCUUUAACACUGAACAUUUUUUUUUUUAACGCAACAUGUAAAGUGUUGACCCCAUGUUUCAUGAGCUGAAAUAAAAAAAAAUCCCCCAAAUUUUUCCACACACACACACACACAGCUUAUUUCUCUAAAAUGUUGUGUGUGAAUUUGUUUACAUUCCUGUUAGUGAGCGUUUUCUCAUUUGCCAAGAUUAAUCCAUCCACCUGAAAGGUGUGGCAUAUCAAGAAGCUGAUUAAACCGCAUGAUCGUUACACAGGUGCACCUUGUGCUGGGGGACGUUUAUAAAAGGCCACUUUAAAAUGUGCUGUUUUGUCAUAAAACACAAUGCCACAGAUGUUUUGAGGGAGUGUGAAAUUGGCAUGCUGACUGCAGGAAUGUCCACCGGAGCGGUUGCCAGACAAUUGAAUGUUAAUUUAUCUACCAUAAACUGUCUCCAAUAUAUUUUUGAGGUUAUUUGUCAGUACGUCCAAACGGCCCCACAACCACAGACCACAUAUAACCACACCAGCCCAGGACCUCCACAUCAGGCUUCUUCACCUGCGGGAUCGUCUGAGGUGGGGUGCUGAGGAGUAUUUAUUUUUUUGGGCCCUUUUGUGGGGCAAAACUAAUUCUGAUUAGCUGGGCCUGCCUCCCCAGUGGGCCCGCCUCCCCAGUGGGCCCGCCUCCCCAGUGGGCCCGCCUCCCCAGUGGGCCCGCCUCCCCAGUCAUGUUAAAUCCAUAAAUUAGGGCCUAAUGAGUUUAUUUCAAUCGACUGAUUUCUUUAUAUGAACUGUAACUCAAUAAAAUCUUUGAAGUUGUUGCAUGUUGCGUUUAUAUUUUUGUUCAGUUUUAUUAUAUAUAUAUAUAAACAAACACUACUCCAUGUCCUGGACAAGGGGACUGUUUCAACAUACCACAUUUCAGUGUCUAGUUGAAACGAAGCACCUAUAUUAAACAGUGAUUGGUUUGGCUUGGUGAUAGAGUGACUGCAUGGGGAUAUAUUAUGCUUAGACGAGGAGACCAUGUGACCUGACCAGGAAACACUGUCAUAUAGGGCCAGUGUUUCCUGGUCCCUCCUCCAGUCCCCCCAACAGCCCAACUCCAGUCCUCCAGUACCCCCAACAGCCCAACUCUAGUCCUCCAGUACCCCCAACAACCCAACUCUAGUCCUCCUGUACCCACAACAGCCCAACUACAGUACCCCCAACAGCCCAACUCUAGUCCUCCAGUACCCCCAACAGCCCAACUCUAGUCCUCCACCCAACUCUAGUCCUCCUGUACCCCCAACAGCCCAACUCUAGUCCUCCAGUACCCCCAACAGCCCAACUCUAGUCCUCCAAUACCCCCAACAGCCCAACUCUAGUCCUCCAGUACCCCCAACAGCCCAACUCUAGUCCUCCAAUACCCCCAACAACCCAACUCUAGUCCUCCAGUACCCCCAACUCUAGUCCUCCAGUACCCCCAACAGCCCAACUCCAGUCCUCCAGUACCCCCAACAGCCCAACUCCAGUACCCCGAACAGCCCAACUCCAGUCCUCCAGUAUCCCCACUCAUUUUUUGUUGUUGGCCCAGAUGACAAAUUCCUCUGAUUCAACUAAUUGAGGAUGAAGUUGAAUCAGGUGUGCUUGUUUGGGGCCUACAACAACAAUGUGUUCUGUUGUAGGACUGGAGGUGGGAAACACUGCUAUAUGGGGUGGAAAAACUACUCAAAUCUCAUUCUGUAGUAAAAGUGAGGAUAUUCUAAUAGAAAAUUACCACUUGAGUAAAAGUAUUUGGUUUUAAAUGUACUUAAGUAUCAAAAGUAAAUGUAGUUGCUAAAAUAUACUUAAGUAUCAAAAGUAUGAAUAAUUAAAAAUUCCUUAUAUUAAGAAAACCAGAUGGCACAAUUUUCUUGUUUUUUUAUUUUUGCUGUGCAAGGGUCACAUUCCAACACUCAGACAUGAUUUAAAAACAACGCAGUUGUGUUUAGUGAGUCCUCCAGAUCAGAGGCAGUAGGGAUGACCAGGGAUGUUCUCUGUUUAGUGAGUCCACCAGAUCAGAGGCAGUAGAGAUGACCAGGGAUGUUCUCUGUUUAGUGAGUCCUCCAGAUCAGAGAUAGUAGUGAUGACCAGGGAUGUUCUCUGUUUAGUGAGUCCUCCAGAUCAGAGGCAGUAGGGAUGACCAGGGAUGUUCUCUGUUUAGUGAGUCCUCCAGAUCAGAGGCAGUAGUGAUGACCAGGGAUGUUCUCUGUUUAGUGAGUCCUCCAGAUCAGAGGCAGUAGAGAUGACCAGGGAUGUUCUCUGUUUAGUGAGUCCUCCAGAUCAGAGAUAGUAGUGAUGACCAGGGAUGUUCUCUGUUUAGUGAGUCCUCCAGAUCAGAGGCAGUAGAGGACCAGGGAUGUUCUCUGUUUAGUGAGUCCUCCAGAUCAGAGGCAGUAGGGAUGACCAGGGAUGUUCUCUGUUUAGUGAGUCCUCCAGAUCAGAGACAGUAGGGAUGACCAGGAAUGUUCUCUGUUUAGUGAGUCCUCCAGAUCAGAGACAGCAGGGAUGACCAGGAAUGUUCUCUGUUUAGUGAGUCCACCAGAUCAGAGACAGCAGGGAUGACCAGGGAUGUUCUCUUGAUAAGUAUGUGAAUUGGACCAUUUUCUGUCCUGCUAAGCAUUCAAAAUGUACUUUUGGGUGUCAGGGAAAAUUUAUGGAGUAAAAAGUACAUCAUUUUCAUUAGGAGUGUAUGGAGUAAAAAGUCAAAUAUAUAAAUGAUAAAAGUACAGAUAACCCCCCCCUCCAAAAAUGCCUUAAGUACUUUACACCACUGAUGGGUGCUUGGUCCCAGGUAGGGAGGAUGUUUUAUAACCCCACGACAGUAUGACACAGGGAAACUAACUGGCAGUAAUAUUUGCUGCCUUUGAACAUUUUGAAAUGUGUACAUUUAGCUACAUCAAAUGUUGCCCACCUUCCCCAAGUACAACAGAGCUUUACUAUGGUUCUGACUAGGUGGAAUACAGACUUUCUCGUAGCAGGUUAGGAGAAUGAGGUUACGGUUAUGAAAAGGGUUAGCUAAAAUGCUCUCCUAGCCUUCUAUGAAAAGUCACUUCCUGGUUGUGGCUGUACUCCAUCUUGUCCCAAGGUUUUCCCAAACUCUUUUGUUGUUGUUGCCAUAGAUCUACACAGCUGAUUCAAAUAAUCAACGAAUCAUCAAGCUUUGAUCAUUUGAAUCAACUGUGUCGUGUUAGGGGGCAAAAAACUCAAAUGUGCACACCUUGGGGUCCCGAGGACCUUGGGAAACGCUGAUCUAGUCACAACUCUGUAUCAUUGUCUUGACUCACUGUGUGAAUUCCUUCCCUAGUUGGUGAUGCACUGUGACAUGUGUAAAAAAAAAUAUAUUAAAAAAUUGCUGUAUAUGAAUGAGUAUAAAAUAAAGUGAAAUGUUC